GUUAUGAUUUUAAAUAAAAUUUAUAACGAAGACCAACAAUAAAUUAGCAUGAAGAUAACAUAAAAAUAAUAGAAGGAACAAUAAAUAUAAACAAUCAAGCUUAACUACAAUAUAAAUAAUUAAUUAGAUUAAGUGGUAGAUAAAUCUAAUACUUGAGAUUCUCAAUAUUAUUAAUUCAAUAAAUAAAAUGUUACAUAACAUUAGUUAAAUUUAUUAUAUUUACUUUUAUUUUUUAUAUUAUCUUACAAAUGCUAUUUAAUAUUAAUUAAAGUUCAACAAAUAUAUUUAUAACAAUCAAUACUAUUAAAACAGAAGAACAUUUUUUGAGUGCCUUUCUAUUUAAAAAGUAUUUACAAUAUACUGCCAGUGGCUUAUUUUAAACCCAUUUUUUUAAUUAAGUUCAGUAUUUUUCGUAAUUCCUUUUAAUCCAACAAACUAUUUAUUAUUUAAUUAUCUUUCUCUUUCCACGAUUUGGGCAUGGAGGCGAUAGAAACAGCGAUUCCCCCACCUCUCCGCACAAAGCUUUGAGUUUCACGGGGGUUCAUGGCACCAGAUCUUUUGGUUCUCUCAAAGGUAACGGUUCUUCAUGGACUUCGCUUAAAUCGAGUUAGAAUGGGGACAAAAUGUAUUGGGAUCGGACAUGACUAGAUUUGAUUUUGAUUUGAAAUCUGGUGAUUUAAGUAAGGUGAGAUGCGAUUCAGAGUACUGGUUAUAAUUACGGCUAUUGAAUGGUAAAGGAGAUUGAGUUAGCUGAUGCAAUUGACGAUGAUAUAAUAACAUAAUCCAUUUAAAGACCGUCCAGUCUCCACGGUUCUAUAUCUUUGUACUUUCUUCCUUUUGACGUGUAUUUCUGUCUGUGGAUAUGUGAAUAUUGAUGUUUUGUUAUUUAGUAGUUAUGAGCUUAUGAUUUUUGCUUAGUACAAGAAUGUCUUCAGGGAUGAUUGCCGAGAUAAAUCAAGUUUUGCAGAAAAAUGGGUGAUGAGGUAACAUGACAUCUUUUGUUUAUUUAUAAUCUCUUCUUACAUUUGUAUAUUUGCAAAUGUGAUAGUGUCUUCAUAUAUGGCAAAAUAAGGGAGUUUGUAAUCUAUGUAGCUGAUCCAUGAAUUACAUUUCCAUCUUUUAACUAAGAAAAAACUAUUCCAUCCAAGGUUCCAAUAUGACCUUUUGUUGUGCCUCUUUCAGGUAAGAGAUGCCAUAACGUCAUAUCUUUUCGACUUUAUGCCGUUAACAGAAAACGCCUGAAAUCAACUUGGUGUACUUAUAGUUAUAUUUUCAGGCAACUCAUAUUAUUUGUUUUGCCACUGAUGCAGUAAGUUUGGUCAAGCUCUGGACUAGAUCACACCUCUUGGAAGAGAAACAUGUUGCUGUGUUUUCCUGGCCGGCCAAAGACGAGUGAAUCUGAACCGAUCUAAUAAGUGAGCUUCACCGCAUUUGCAUUCUUAUUCUCAGAGCUCACUCACUACAAUCAAUUCCACAUGAAAACAUUGCUGAACUUGAAAUAAGAUAGGGAUAGCUCUCAGUCUCAGAUACUCAGACUUGAUGACGCUGGGUAUGCAAUUGGGCUUGAUUUCUGGAUCUUUUUUUGCAACCGACAGUAAGUGCAUUUUGUUUUAGGCAAAAAAAUCUAACACUUAAAUGCAUUACGUAAAGACUAAAAAGACAAUGUCUCUCUUUGUAUUAUGGAUAUUGGUCUCUCAUCGUAUAAGGAAAUCCGAAAAGAGCCAAGGUUUCUAAGAA